GGCGCCCAGAGAAAUACGCGGAAAAUUCAAAUAAUUAAUUAAAAAAUCGGAAAAAAUCGGAAAAAAUCAGAAAAAAUCAGAAAAAAUCAAAAAAAAUUAGAAAAAAUUGGAAAAAAGUAGAGAAUAUUAAGAAGAAUCAGAAACAAAUUCAGAAUAAAUCUGGGAUGGUGUAACUCUAGUUGCAUAUCAGAAAACGCUCCCAGGGCCAUGGAAAGAUGCGGUAAUUGACAAAUCAAUUGGAAUGGGUGCAUCUUUAUGGUCUCUCUUGUUCAUCUUGACGUGUGUGGCUCCACGCGCAAAUGACGUUUGCAGGUAACCUCCCAGAUCAGGGAAAUGUAUGCGAAUUGAUUUAAUUCAUAAUCUCUAUUGCGUGACACUCGGUGACAUGCACAAAGUGCAGCGUACUCUAUUCUCGGACUGGAAUCUUGAAAAAUUUUCCAACAGGGCGUACAAGACACAAGGAGUGCCCCAAGCCCAACAGAUGAGCUUAGAAAAGAUUCACUGGCCAGUCGAGAGACGAGGAUCUGGGUUUUCUUCUUAACGAUGUGAUUCUCUUUGCUCCGAUGCCGUUUUCAGGUUACCUGCAUUUCGGAGGCCUCCGUACAGCUCUGUGCAUUAUGAUGCAACUAUCCUUUGGCUCGGGAAAACCAAGGGAAUUUUAUUCUACUUCUGGAAGACAUGGAUCGAACAGGACUCGUACCUCAUGCUGCAGGUACACUCCAAGCGGUUUCGUUCCGGACUGGAAUCAUCCCGCACAAAGACCUGACAAGGGGUGAACAUGUAGGCUUCUGCUUUCAAUCGAAAUGUCUGGAAUUGUACAAUGAGCAGGUCGAGAAGUUUUCCUCCAAAACGCCUCGUCGUAGCACUGUUUUCGUUUAGACAAUGGACUGGGGCUCUUGGGACCAAAAUCGUUGAGGCUUAGGCAGACAUCGAAGUUUUUGUUACAAUACGGUGAUAGUAAAAUAUAUAAAAUUUUUAUUUCCAACAGUUAAUUAUUCAGGAAUCAAUAAGAGAGAAAUCAAGAUAAUGAUAAUAUUAAUGAGAAUAAUAAUAACAAUAACAACAAAAAUGGCGAUGCUUUAAUAAUACUGAGUUACUCGCAAGAAAAGUACUGUUCAUUAUCAUCAUCUCAAAAAAGAAUGAGCGAUCAUUAUUGUUAUUGUCUGAGAAUCGAUAGUUAUUUUAACACACAUAAAGAUAGGAUUGAGAUAUGCAAUGGAAUGAUUAUUGGAAAUGCGUAUUUAAUAUCAUUUUUGAAUCUAUUAUUCAUGUGGUUAAAAAUAAAUCAAAACAAUAGGUCUA